rnacentral:rRNA from 1 species
GGUUACUGCUAUCGAGGUUCGACUAAGCCAUGCGAGUCGAAUGUAGCAAUACAUGGCGAACUGCUCAGUAACACGUGGACAACCUGCCCUUAGGUUGGGUAUAAACCCGGGAAACUGGGUAUAAUACCCGAUAGGUCUCGAUUGCUGGAAUGCAUCGAGAUUUAAAGCUCCGGCGCCUAAGGAUGGGCCUGCGGCCUAUCAGGUAGUAGUGGGUGUAGCGUACCUACUAGCCUACGACGGGUACGGGUUGUGAGAGCAAGAGCCCGGAGAUGGAUUCCGAGACACGAAUCCAGGCCCUACGGGGUGCAGCAGGCGCGAAAACUUUACAAUGCUGGCAACAGCGAUAAGGGAACCUCGAGUGCCAGGUUACAAAUCUGGCUGUCGAGAUGCCUAAAAAGCAUUUCAUAGCAAGGGCCGGGCAAGACCGGUGCCAGCCGCCGCGGUAACACCGGCGGCUCGAGUGGUAACCGUUAUUAUUGGGUCUAAAGGGUCUGUAGCCGGCCGGAUAAGUCUCUUGAGAAAUCUGGCAGCUUAACUGUCAGGCUUUCAGGAGAUACUGUCUGGCUCGAGGCCGGGAGAGGUGAGAGGUACUUCAGGGGUAGGGGUGAAAUCUUGUAAUCCUUGAAGGACCACCAGUGGCGAAGGCGUCUCACCAGAACGGACCUGACGGCAAGGGACGAAAGCUAGGGGCACGAACCGGAUUAGAU